GGAUCUCCUUUACGGGCUGCGGCAGCGGAGGGCCCCGGGUGUGAGGAGCCUCACGGCAGAGCUGGCUGGGCCUUCUCACCGUGAGAUACAGUUUGCUACAUUUCAAUAAGGGUGAGUACAGAUAUUUUCAGAAUCCAUAUUAUAAUGUAUACAAGGUUUUUUUUUUUAAUCAAAUUGUGUUAUGUAUA